UGGGGAAUAUUGGGCAAUGGAGGAAACUCUGACCCAGCGACGCCGCGUGCGGGAUGAAGGCCUUCGGGUUGUAAACCGCUUUCAGCAGGGAAGAAGCGAAAGUGACGGUACCUGCAGAAGAAGCACCGGCUAACUAUGUGCCAGCAGCCGCGGUCAUACGGAGGAUGCGAGCGUUAUACGGAAUUAUUGGGCGUAAAGCGUCAGUGGGUGGGUGUACAAGUCUGCUGU
rnacentral:rRNA from 1 species